GCAUCAUUUCCGGGUCAGGUGUCUGUCUGCGCACAGUAGCGACAGAGUGCUCCGUGCACUGUGCUCCUUUUUGCUCUUUAGUCCUCUCGUUCUCUCUCUCCGUGUUAGACCGAACAAUAUUCUGUAGCUAAUGUUAGCGUGGUCACAGGUAGAUGUCUGCCGUGUGGGUCUUUCUCUCCCUCCCUCUCCCUGUGCAGGUUUGACCUGGGAAACAGGGAAUGCUCAUCAGCUGGCCGAAAUCCACAGGUGGCGAUUGAUGUGACACGCAUCAGUUGAUUGGGGCCUCUGCUGCUGCUAACUGCUGUUUUGUCUGCUGCUGUCUGCUGCUAACUGCUGCUUUGUCUGCUGCUACAUGCAACUUAGUCUGCUGCUACAUGUAACCUUGUCGCUAACUGUCUGCACUGUUAAUGCACAGUUUGGUCUCCGCCGCGACGUACAUAGUGUGUCUAUUGCCGGCACCAGACUUGGACCUGUGUAGUUCUUUGAUUCUAGCUGACUGAGUAGUUAAUCCUCUAGUUUGUAUUUCUUUGGUUUGUUUCCCUCAUUUUCUUUUUGUUUGGGUUACGUGAAUUGUUUGAUUAGGACGAUUUUUAUGUGAAUUAUUUUCUUUUUGUGUUGUACAUUUUUGGUUUAAUUCUCUUGUAACCUUCUUUUUUUUGGUUAUCCUUCCUAGCAGCUGUAGGCUGGUGGUGGUGUGGGUGGUGGUGGUCUUCCUCGUCUGUCAUGUCCCAUUGAAUCAGGAAACAUUUACAUUGCAAGUAUUUAAACCGCGUGGGUGAAUGGACCUCCUCCUUUCUUUCUAUCUGCCAAACUCAAAACAGCGAAAACUCACUGACUAAAAAAAUGAAGCGACAAUGAAGUUUAGAUGUUAUUUGGGCAUUAGUGGUGGAGAAAUACAUGUAUUGACUAUAGUGUGCUGUAGUAAAGAGUGAAGCACUUGUGCUGUGAUACGGCUGAGUGCAAACUGUGACAUUCCCACUGCUGAUGCCAAGAAAUUAUCCUGAUGCCAAUAAUUGUAAUGUAGUGAGCAGUUUAACAACUGCUGGAAUGGAAUGUGCACGCUGAGUGGGAGAUGCAACGUCAUCUUUGAUUUCUAUCAGUAACUUAUAUUGCGUGGCUUCAUCUUCAUUGCAUAAUUUUGUGUUCAUUCAACUGAAAAAGUGUCGUCCUUGUGGCAAAAGUUCUUUCAACUUGACUUGAAAUGUCUCCAAUUUCACAAGGAGGCAUAUGUGAGGAAACCCGCAUUCUUGUUAACACCUGCUUUUAGAAAGUCCAGAAUUUCCCCCACAAAACAGGCAGUUUCUGUACGUACAAUAUAUUAUAUAGACCAUAUAUUAUUCAGCAGCCUUUGCACAUCCCCUCCUAUCUCUUUAUGGGAAACUCCCACUUUUCCUAUGACCUUCCGUGAAUGCAUAUGCAUGACACGGAAUGCAUCGCAUGUACCAACCAGUCAGUGGCCUACUUGGAAAAAUACCCAUACACUUAUCAUUAUUUUCGAUGAUUACAAAUAAAGUACAUCAUAUGUCUUUUUUUUUUUUUUGGAUCCACCAAUUUGCCUGGAUGGACACAUGAAAUAAAAUGAUAAUUGUAAUACUCCAAAGUAGGUUUUCCCGAAAAAUAUGCUUAACUCUAGGCUAGUAUCAGAUGGUUAUAGUUAACACUACGAAACCUUAGGGAAUGGACAUCAGCAGAAAAAGAUCACACAUUAAAGACACUAGAAUCAGAGUGUAUAAUUAGUAUAAAUUAUAUCGUAAAAAUAGAACAUACGAUGGGGUGUCAGCAUCAGUGGUAUUGGUAAUGUUGCAUGCGGAGUAUGUGAUUGUGUAUGUGUGGGUGUUGAAGGUGGAUAGGAAAACAAUAAGUUUAAUAACAGAACCUAAACUAACUCUGCCUGCCCAGGUGCAUUGUGGUCACAUGGUAAUGAAAAUAAAUAAAAAGACAGUACUGUAUGUAUUGACCUCUGUGUCCGGUCACAAACGGUCAGUGAGUGAUGACUGAAGACAAUUAAACUAAUUAUGAGACGGUUUUGUAACGGGAUAUGGAUCUUGUAAUUAUGAGAUAUCCUCUCUUUGUUCAAUGAAGAAUUAUCUAUGCCGUCAAUGGUUGAAAAUAGUAAAUGUACAGCGCAUUUCUAGUCUUCUGACUGCUUUAACACUACAUGACAUCAUUCACCCAUUCAUACACUGAUAACAGGAGCUACCAUACACAGUGUCCCAUGCCAUUAUUAACUAACAUUCACACACUGUAGUUUCAGCUACAAUGUGGUUUAAGUGUCUUGCUCAAGGACACAUCAACAUGCGGGUUAGCCAGGCCUGGGAUCAACCACCCAACCCUCUGAUUGGAGGAUGACCGUGCUCCCCACUCACCCACAGUCAAGCUACUGUGAAAAGUAUACCGUGCCCAUUAGGAAGGUUUGCAUGGCCCAAUAAAGUAAUGAACGCCACAUAUGCGUCGGCCUCGUCAAUACACUAGGCAAAAUAGUUGCGCUUUCCCUUCUCAUAGAUUUCCAUCGAGGAUGAUCGAUGUAGACUGAUUUUUUUUAUUUUAUUGAAUUUACCUUUUAAGUUCCUUCCCUUUUCCAAACAGUUUCCAAUAAUUUCAUCUGGUAUGUCAAGUUAGACGAGAGACAGCUUCUCUCAACCAUGUUUGAGUUAUUAACAUUUCAUUUCAUGCAUUCAAAGUGACCACAAAAUAUCAAUAAAAAAUUGAAGAAUGUUCUGAAAAACAGAAAAUAAACUACCUCUAUUAAAAACAUCCAACACAAGCUCAAAACAAUGUUCUGAACACCAAGUUGUGAUAUACCAAGAAAUUGAACAAUUGAUGAAUAAUUGCAUCAUGAUGGAAUGUAGUCAUUGACAGAUAAGUGCCAGAAAGAGGGGCUUUCUGGGCUUCAUAAGAUUACAGAUAAUCUAUAAACUGCAAUUCUUCAAAUUGUGGUUUACAGAGCAUCUCUGUCUCUCUCUGCCGGUUAAUCUCAUCAGGGACAGGAAUCCAGAUUCAAUACCAUCGACCUUGGUCUCUCUUAUCUCCUGCAACUGCUCCCUUCUGGAGAAAACUCAGCAGCUGACAAAAUAUAAGUGGGUCUGUGUCGCUUCGAAUGAAAGAGGUUUGUACAUUGUUCCUCUUGUUUGCAGAGUUAUUCUAGAAUUUCUUAGUGGAUCUCCCUAAUGUUAAAGGACAACAAGCAGCAGAGUGACAAAAAAAGUGAGGCAAUCUUCUAAAAAGGAUCAGAGAAUGAAGACAGAUGGAGUGAGCAAACAGCAGCAUGGCAGUCCAGUACAGUGAAAGACAGAGCUUAACAUCCUGCAUUGUGUCCAGACAGGCAGGGCUAACUUGGGGGCUCGAGCUGCAUGCUGUUCCUGUGAUUAGCCCUCCAUCUGGCAGGGUGGGCAGAGCGAGCAGCCAAAGCGUUGCAGCCGGCUGCAUGGAUCUGAGAGUUGGAGGCGGGCUCUUCCUUUGCAUUUGCAUUUGACAGUGACAGCAACUAACGUAGCAAAAGAGUUCUGGGUACUUGCUAAAAGACUUCCAAUGGCUCAACGGGCCAAAGCACUCCCUCUCUGGGAGGCUUUUAAUGUCAACAUUAAAAGUUGUAGCGUCAAUUAUCAAGGUUGACCCCUAAAGAUCAAUGAGUUGAGUCAAUUUUGAAAAUCACUCUUGAAAAUCCUGCACUAAUCCUGCAAACAAUCUAGAAAAUAAACGCUAAACUGAAAAAAGAACCAACUGAAACAAAAAAUGAACAAAGUAUCAGAAUAACAAGACCUGACAAUAGCAAUGAAAAAUGGCAUGGAUACAGCGAUGGCUCUCUGACAUGAGGUACAAGACGGACUGGCACAGAACAAAGGGGGGCGCAGACAAUAUAUACACAUAGGGUAAGGACAGGGCAGACAAUCCGACCAGCAGGAAAGCACACAGGGGGAAGGAGCGGUGGUGUAGUGUACGUGAUACGCAGGUAUACGGCGUAUACCCACUAGGAAAAGUCAAGGAUGUGCGUAUACCCACUGACAAAAGCGCUGUGACAGAACGUUCGGUCCCUCGCUCUGGGACAGGCGAGUAUGGCGCUGGGAAGGGAAAAAUCACAGUAUUCUCACUACAAAAUUUAGACACACUACUGGAGAGGAAAGUUAACUGAAAGUAAAACAGGACAUGAGUCUCUGUGCUCUCCCUCCCCACAGGCUUCUGUGGAUGGUGGUUCUAUCUGACCCCUGCAGUGGUCCUGCUAUGCGCCUGGCUUACUACUCACAAUUACUUGAAUCAUUUCUGUCAUAGGAAUUGCAUGUAUUAUAUACUGUUCAUUCUGUACACGUGGCAUCCAUUGUAGUCUGUCCAUCCCGGGAGUGGGAUCCCUCCUCUGACUUUCUCCCUAAGGUUUAUUCCCUUUUUUCCCUCUUGGAAGGGUUUUUUCAUUUUUUGGGGAGUUUUUCCUGUGCCGAUGGUGGGUUUCGGGACGGAGGAUGUCGUACGUGUACAGACUGUAAAGCCCUCUGAGGCAAAUUUGCGAUUAUGGGCUAUACAAAAUAAAAUGAAUUGAAUUGAAUUGAACAUGAGGGAAACCCCUGUGAGUGUUCGGAUGUGUGAAAAUCUCUUUUAUGUUGCUGGUGAAUAAAUAAAUCAUACAACACACAAAAGAAAUUAUGUGAAUCGCCUAAAAUACCAUCUUAAUUGGCUGAAACCCACCCUGCAACCCCCUCUGCCAACCCCUAAAACCUGUGCGAUUAUGAUGUUUUGAACGGUGUGAAGCAUUUAUAUAUUUGUUUGUGAUGAAUACACAACAUUCCUGUUCUGGCUCGGUUUGGAGCCAAAACUGGUGCCAGUCGGCUGCAACAGGUUAAAUGUGCUUUAUCCCCGGCUCUAGGAUCCUGCUGGUGGCACAUGUGAUCCUCUGCCUUCCCAGUUCCAUCCGCCUUCUCAGAUUCAGGACCCUAUCUUCAUCUCCAGCCAACUCCAGUAACUUCAGCAGAACCUCUGAUGUCUGGGCUCCUCGGGGGGGAGCCCCACAGCUAAAUCUCAAAUCGCGUCAUUGAGUUCAAGCGCCAAAUAAAUUUGCCUCAUGUACUCAUGAAGGCUUCAUCAAGCAUAAUAAAUAUGAACUACUAAUCAUUCACAUGUCUCUCCUAAUUGAACUUCUAUUGUUUAAAAUACUGUAAAAAUUCCUAGACACCUCACCAGAGGUGAGAUAUGAAGACUGGGUUCCUCUGCUGAUGAGGCAAACAAAUGAGUACAUGAAAUAUAUUUCAGAAUGUAUAUAUUAUAACCUGAAUAUACACAUAUAUCAUCUAAACCUUUCUGGCUACGUUAUGAAUUGAUAUAUGAAGUCCCUCCAUAAUCAGAAGAACGACAAGAUGUUAUUCGUUAUUAAGCACCAUCACAACUGUGUUCGGAACAGAGGAAAAGUCAUAAACCACAAAAGCAAACUCUUGAAGGAAAUACUGGAGAGCGAUGAGUACACGUAGCAGCCAAACAGCGGAUGCAGGGGAGAAUAUACCUUGUGUUGGCAUGGGGGUGGAGUAAAAAAUAAAACAGGAAACACAUGUACAAUUAAUUGGAUGUUAUGAAAAACCAAAGUCAAUAGUCUUCACUAUUGACUGAAUAUUAGCAGUCAAAUCAAAUAUUUAAACCAAUAUGCAUGUAUUGCAUAUGUUUGCAUUCAUCCCACUUUAAUAUUAAAUCCUUCUGCUUAUUUUUACCAUCUUUUAUUCUAUUCUUUUUAGUUUUUUUCGUUGUUGUCUUCGGUUUUUCACAUGUUGUAUGUCUUUCACUUAAUCUCAGAUUAAGCAUUCUUGAUCAGCCUUGCUGCUGAAAGAUGCAACUGGAAAUAAUCUACCUUUUCUUCCACCUCUCGCCAGCCCUCCGGACUAGUCCUCCACCCUCCUGCCUCACGUAAAGUAUGCAAAGUUCCCAGCACAGCUUCUCCAGCAGCACAUCCAUCAUUACCUGAGGGAGUCAGUGUAAGCCUAAUCAAGACUUUGAUUAAUUGAAAAAGGAACAGAGAGAGGUGGGCCAGGAUCAGCAGGCCUUUGGGCUCAGCCUGCUCUCUCUCCCGGCUUGGUGGAGGGUUGGCUGGCUGCAGUAUUAAAUGCCAUAUGGUGGUGCUGCUGCGCAUAAGAUCAACUUCUUGCAGAGUGGUAUCAAAUUUGCAGUACGCUUUCCCCUACCCUUAUCUUUUUAUUGAAAUUAGGUCACCUAUUUAGAAAUUGUACAAGUUUAGAACUUGUGAUGUAAACAUUGAAAUUAUUUCCAAAAUAUGUAGCACAUGCAUUGUUGCAUACUUCUGAGUUCUUCUUUGUUGUAUUUUUCUGUUAAUUCUUUUACAUUUUUGCCCAAUAUUUAUAGCACUAAAUGGUAUAUUGUUUUAUAUUACUUGUGCAUGCCACAUCAAUUAAACAACUUUCAGGUGAUUCUCAGGGUCAAAUCUAUUUAAACCUUUCAUUGAAAAACUGCUGGCAGGCAAGUAUUUCUGUGACUUAUUUGUUCGCACAUCUGGAUAAUAUAAUAACCCCAUAAUAUCACAACCCAAUCAUUAUUUUUCCCAGACUAAAUUGUGUUUUAUUUUAUAGGAUGUCACUGAUGUCAGGUGCGGCAAGGACAAACCUAUUGAACAAUCUCUGCUCCCUUUGGAGUACUAACUGAUAGCAUGACCUUAGACUUGUCUUGAUCUACCAUUAAAUACAGUUUUGAAUAAACUACAACCACAGAGUGAGUGAUUAAAGAAGUCUCUGACAGUGUCUUUAAGUAACAGAGAUAUUACACCAAUUUUGUCUUCCAGCAUUGCAGGUACCAUAACACUGCCAGAGAAGAUAAAAUGCUCAGUUUCAUCUGCGUCUUACUCACUCACUCACUCCUGCAUUCAUUCAUUCAUUCACUCGCCUACUCAAUCACAGACACACUCACACACACUGCUGUAGCGGCGAGAUAAAACAUUUUUGUAGAUUGCGAAUGCGGGUAGGAAGAAAAAUGAUAUCAGGUAAUCACUGUGAGGCGUUACUAGUCAUUACUCUGAGCUGUCACUCGGAGAUGAGAGACAAGGCAGCGAGUCGCCAACACUGGACUGACUCCCUUUCUCAUUCCUCCUGUGAAUUCCUUUGUUAUUUUGGAUCCUAUUGAAUAGUCCAUUUUGGUUUCUCUUUUAUUUAUUUCCUGGAAGGUGGAGAGUGAGUGAGUCCACUGCAUCUGCAAGUUUGACCUUGACUGGGAUGAAGACUGCAUCACCAUCAAAGGCCAUGCUUCUGCUACAGAUAAAGCCUGAGAAGAAAAAUUGCUUAGAUGCAGGUGUGAAAAUGUCGGCCCACUGCUCUGUUUGAAUGUGUUCAACUUUUCCACAAAUGCAAAAACUAUUAUUAAUACCACAAUAUAUACCUCUUAUUUAAAUGUUGUAGUAUGGCGUUUUAUUUUAUUACAUAGAGUAAUUCCCUGAGUACUGGCCUAGGUUAAAGUUAAAACCAAAAGUAAAUGCAGAUGGCCCGCAGGUGAAAUUAGAAAUGAAUUUCAUAUUCACACAAAGUUCAAUUAUAUUAUGGCUAAAGUUUUACAUAAUCAAUGGAGAGCCGUGUUGAGUGAUACGGUGGUCGGCGUUACUGUUGUAUGCCUAUUUAAAAAUAAUCACAGGUGUCGGAUGUUACUUUCUUCCAGGAGGCACAGUUUUUCACCAGACGAAAUGGGCAUUCCAAUUCAUGUCAUGAUUCACCUGAAAUACAGAUGCAUCUCGCUUCACCAAGCCAGUGGUUAGUGCUAGCGUAAGCUGCUAACACUUCCAAGCUGAGUCAGGGCUGGCCUUUUUAUUCAUGCAUCCAGGGGCCUACCUCUUCUAUAGCUCCAACCUGACACCCAAAUACGGUCUUCUUAUUGAAUAAAUACGGUCUUUAUUCAUGCAUCCAGGGGCCUACUUCUUCUAUAGCUCCAACCUGACACCCAAAUACGGGCUUCUUGACCUAAAAGGGCGUCAGCAAAAAGGCAAACUUCAAAACAAUAGUCC
ensembl:lncRNA